rnacentral:lncRNA from 1 species
UUUACAGCUUGGUCCCCCCAGUUCAAAAUUUCCAUCUGCGCCCCUGCAUCUAGACGUCAUCUCUUUCAGGGCAGACCCUGCAUUUUUCAACAAGAUACUGCCAGACCACAUUCUGCAGCAAUCACAACAUCAUAGCUACGUAGGAGAAGGAUCGGGGUACUGAAAUGGCCAGCCUGCAGUCCAGAUCUUUUACCUAUAGAGAACAUUUGGCGCAUCAUAAAGAGGAAUGUGCCAACAAAGAAGGCCCAAGAUAAUUGAACAGUUAGAGGCCUGUAUUAGACAUGAAUGGGAGAGCAUUCCUAUUUCUUGAGAAACUUGAGAAACUGGUCUCCUCUGUCCCCAGAUGUCUGUUGAGUGUUGUAAGUAGAAGAGGGGAUGCCACAGUGGUGAAAAUGGCCUUUUCCCAACUUUUUUGGAAUUUGUUGACACCAAGAAAUUGUGAAACAACAUAUUUUCCCCUUAAAUUGAUACAUUCUCUUAGAUUAAACUUUUGAUCUGUGAUUUGUGUUCUAUUCUGAAUAAAAUAUUCUCCACAUCAUUGCAUUCAGUUUUUAUUCACAAUUUGUUUAGUGUCCAAAUUUUUUGGAAUCCGGUUUGUAUAUAUAUAUAUAUAUAGUGUCGAAGGCGGUUGUGGAAGGUUGAAGAGAAGUGUGAGAGCCGGUCAGGUUCCCACAGUGACCUUUUUACAUGGAUGAAAUACAUACAUAGGUUCUCACAAGGCUUGCAAAUGCGACAGGUGGACAUAAUCCAAGAUGGAAUAACAAAGAGCACCAGGACCCUCUCUAUGAUGUUCAACAAACUCAGGCAAAUGUGCGUCAAAAUUCUGCGAACGUUUUGCAAAAAGAAAGGACAGAAAGUGGGGGGAGCUGACAUCAUUGUUCAGAUUGAUGAGAGCAAGUUCUGCCACAAGCGAUUUAAAAUUUAAUAAAUAAAUUUAUUUAACAUAACUGAAAUCCCAUAGACCAUUUAUUGGUGCUGGUACUGGUUUCUAAAACUGAUAAGUGAUUAAGCCUGCAAUGAGGUACACAAAUUUCCCACAAAUAUUAAUAUGGUUUGGAAUACAUAUUCCAGAACCCCAGAUCAGAAAAAUGCGGAACAGUUCAGAAAAUGCAUAAAACAAAAAAAAAAACUGUUUAUAACAUUUAUUUUGACUUUUAUUUGAUUGCAGACAGUAUGAGCCCAGUACAUUUUAUCUGCU